AGGGGAAAUAUCGUGAUUGCAAAGGUGAUUCUCUCAGGGCAAGCCUUGAUUUUAUUCCGGAUGUGCUGACCUCUGUGAUUUCCCACAAAUGUGGGAAACUCAGCU
rnacentral:snRNA from 1 species